rnacentral:lncRNA from 1 species
UUCAUAGAGUUAUUCUUAUUAAUCAUUUAGCAGCUUAUCCAAUAGUGAGUAAAGUAUACUAUAAAAUGAAGUAAUUUGAUUAUAUUUCCAAAAGUAUUUUCUAUAUCACAAAAUUGAUCAAUACUUGCAAUUCAUAUUUUAAUCAAAUACUAAAGCAAAAAUAAUGAUGAGAUGCAAGGAUUACUGAUUUCAUUAUUAUUAUUAUUAUUAUUAUUUUAUUUAAAA